AGCGUAGGCUGCGCGGUAAGUCAGAUGUGAAAUCUCAGGGCUCAACCCUGAAACUGCAUCCGAUACUGCCGUGCUAGAGUAAUGGAGGGGUAACUGGAAUUCUCGGUGUAGCAGUGAAAUGCGUAGAUAUCGAGAGGAAGACCAAUGGCGAAGGCAGGUUACUGGACAUUUACUGACGCUGAGGCUCGAAGGCUAGGGUAGCGAAAG
rnacentral:rRNA from 1 species